GGUGUUAAUUGUUAUUUCCUUCUCGCUCAGUGUCACUGUCAGCAGUCGCAGUCUGUUCUUUUCCAAGCUUUCCACGUCGUAAGCUUGGUAAUUAAUGUUUUGUUACGAAAAUGGUUGGCUGUUCUAUUCGGAACUGUAAGAGUAGGAGUAAAAAGGGCAGUAUAAUCGUAUUUCAUUCGUUUCCGAAAAAAGAAUCCGUAGCCAAUGAAUGGCUUCGCUAUUGUGGACUGAAAACAACAUGUAAAAAUGGCAGAGUUUGUUCAAAACAUUUCACGAGUUCUGAUUAUAUCAAGCCAUUGCGGCACAUUCUAAUGAAAGAAUCGCCAAGGACAGUAAGGACAUUAAAACCAGACGCGAUACCUACAUUACAGAUUGAUAGUGUCUCUAUAAAGAUAGAGAGAGAGAGUGUAGAAGAAUCAAACUCAACUGACUUGACAGCAAAGUCUAUCGUAUGUACGGGGGGACAGACAGACAACUGUGAAACAAAAGAAGAAAAUUAUGAUAUUUCAGCUCCUUCAUGCAAUAUUAAUUUAAAAUCUGAAAGCGACACAACACCAGCCAACAAUGUUGAGGGCUCUUCAAACGUUGUUGAGAAAAGGGAUAAGAAGAUUACAGUGUCAAAGGCUGAAUAUAAGCUACUUAAAAGGAAAGUCGAUGAAUAUGAGAUUCUCAAAAAUAAUCUCAAGCAAAUUUUUACCUCAGGACAAAUUCGAUGUCUCACAAAACCUGAUAGACAACGUGUCAGAUGGUCAGCUGAAGAUAUUGCUGCUGCUAUAUCUCUAAGAUGUGUCAGCCCAAAGGGAUAUCAACAUUUGAGGUCUGAAAAAGGGAUUCCUUUACCGGCUUUGUCAACUUUGUACAAUUGGGCUUCAAAAUUUGACAUUAAGCCAGAUGCGGAGUAUAUUAUUACACCAUGCGCCCAGGCGGACUCCCAAGAGUGAGAGCACCGUGAGCGCCGUCCAUUGACGUCACGAUAUCUCAUGUAAGAUCUGUGAGCGUGAUUCGGAACACAGCCUAGGACACACGUCAAGCGUCAAAAUUGAAGCGGUAUCCAGACGGGACUGAUCCAAGGCCCCAACGUUCUGUUCUCUUCGACGGCGCAGCAGCUAUAGUUCGUUUUUUUUAGCAUUAGAAAUAAGGUAUACAAUCUUGAUGUGUCUUUUAAUUGAAAAACACAUUUUAAAAAUAAGUUACGGCAAAUAUGUAACAAUUCUGAAUCUAAUACGAUCAUUUAUAUUCUUCUGCUUUCAUAAGUAAUAGUUAAUGAUUUUUGAAAUGCGUUUUUCAAUUAAAAGACAUGUCAAGAUCGCUUACCUUCUUUCAAGUUCUUUCUAAUGCUAAAAAAAAAGAAACUAUAGUAUCACUUCUCUCUCCUCGCUCUUUUGGAAAUACCAUUUGUCAAAAAAGGACAACCAUACUGUUGACAGGAUGAACUUCAAAUCAAGGUGUUGCAGUUUUUGGUGGAUUCAAGCUGUGUAAAAGUGGUCUUUCAGGGAUGUGAUAAUAAAUGCUACACAGCGGAACGAAAUAGCAAUUAAUUGAAGCUUCGAUAUCUUCAUUAAAAAUAAACAUAAUUGAAAUGCUAAUGGAUAAUCAAUAUAUUAUAAUAUAAUAAAAUAAUUCAAUUAUUGCGGAACACAUAUUUUAGUAUGUAUUGUAAUAAAAAAUCUGAACUUUCCCUUCGUUCCCUGCUGGGGCACGACGAUAAAAUCACAAAUUGGUAUUCUUGCAUCCGCACCUCAUUUUAUCGGUAAUAUCAGUCAUUAUUGGCGGUUGUGUCCGCACGUCCUGAUUCGAUCGGGCAAUUUAAUCAGAUUGGCGAAAAAUUGACCACCCUGGAUACGCCUUCAGUCAAGCAACGUGAGUGGAAACAAAUAGUGCUGUACGCCAAUUCUCAUCACCCACGCCCAAAAUGUUUCUGUUUGAACGCGGUUUUGCGGUUUAAACGGGUUCAGAAAUCCAAGCAACUUGGUGCCUGAAAAAAAGAUUUUUUUA